rnacentral:rRNA from 1 species
AUUGAACGCUGGCGGAACGCUUUACACAUGCAAGUCGAACGGUAACGUGGGGAGGAGCUUGCUCCACCCCGACGACGAGUGGCGAACGGGUGAGUAAUACAUCGGAACGUGUCCGCUCGUGGGGGACAACCAGCCGAAAGGUUGGCUAAUACCGCAUGAGUUCUACGGAAGAAAGAGGGGGACCCGCAAGGGCCUCUCGCGAGCGGAGCGGCCGAUGACUGAUUAGCCUGUUGGUGAGGUAACGGGCUCACCAAAGCAACGAUCAGUAGCUGGUCUGAGAGGACGACCAGCCACACUGGGACUGAGACACGGCCCAGACUCCUACGGGAGGCAGCAGUGGGGAAUUUUGGACAAUGGGCGCAAGCCUGAUCCAGCUAUUCCGCGUGUGGGAUGAAGGCCCUCGGGUUGUAAACCACUUUUGUAGAGAACGAAAGACAUCUUCGAAUAAAGGAUGUUGCUGACGGUACUCUAAGAAUAAGCACCGGCUAACUACGUGCCAGCAGCCGG